GACGAACGCUGGCGGCGUGCUUAACACAUGCAAGUCGAACGCUGAAGCACUGCUUUUGUGGGGUGGAGGAGUGGCGAACGGGUGAGUAACACGUGAGUAACCUGCCUCCUUCUUUGGGAUAACGCCCGGAAACGGGUGCUAAUACAGGAUAUUAAAUGGCCUUCGCAUGGGGGCUGGGGGAAAGGGUAUCUCUGGUGGGGGAUGGGCCCGCGGCCUAUCUGCUUGUUGGUGGGGUGAUGGCCUACCAAGGCUUUGACGGGUAGGCGGCCGGGGAGGGGGGCCGGUGAGAUUGGGACAGAGAUCCGGCCCAGACUGCUGCGGGCGGUAGCAGUGGGGAGAAAUGGGGAAUGGGCGCAAGCCUGCUGCAGCGCCGCCGCGUGAGGGGUGGAGGCCUUCGGGUUGUGAACCUCUUUGGCAAAUGGUCAAGCCGCAACAAUGGUUGUGGUGAGGGUAUUGGGUAAAGAAGCGCCGGCUAACUACGUG
rnacentral:rRNA from 1 species